CGGUGGAUGCCUUGGCAGUCAGAGGCGAUGAAAGACGUGGUAGCCUGCGAAAAGCUUCGGGGAGUCGGCAAACAGACUUUGAUCCGGAGAUGUCUGAAUGGGGGAACCCAGCCAUCAUAAGAUGGUUAUCUUGUACUGAAUACAUAGGUGCAAGAGGCGAACCAGGGGAACUGAAACAUCUAAGUACCCUGAGGAAAAGAAAUCAACCGAGAUUCCCCCAGUAGCGGCGAGCGAACGGGGAGGAGCCCAGAGCCUGAAUCAGUGUGUGUGUUAGUGGAAGCGUCUGGAAAGGCGCGCGAUACAGGGUGACAGCCCCGUACACAAAAAUGCACAUGCUGUGAGCUCGAUGAGUAGGGCGGGACACGUGGUAUCCUGUCUGAAUAUGGGGGGACCAUCCUCCAAGGCUAAAUACUCCUGACUGACCGAUAGUGAACCAGUACCGUGAGGGAAAGGCGAAAAGAACCCCGGCGAGGGGAGUGAAAAA
rnacentral:rRNA from 1 species